UAGGGAAUCUUCCGCAAUGGGCGAAAGCCUGACGGAGCAACGCCGCGUGAGUGAUGAAGGUCUUCGGAUCGUAAAACUCUGUUAUUAGGGAAGAACAAAUGUGUAAGUAACUAUGCACGUCUUGACGGUACCCAAUCAGAAAGCCACGGCUAACUACGUGCCAGCAGCCGCGGUAAUACGUAGGUGGCAAGCGUUAUCCGGAAUUAUUGGGCGUAAAGCGCGCGUAGGCGGUUUUUUAAGUCUGAUGUGAAAGCCCACGGCUCAACCGUGGAGGGUCAUUGGAAACUGGAAAACUUGAGUGCAGAAGAGGAAAGUGGAAUUCCAUGUGUAGCGGUGAAAUGCGCAGAGAUAUGGAGGAACACCAGUGGCGAAGGCGACUUUCUGGUCUGUAACUGACGCUGAUGUGCGAAAGCGUGGGGAUCAAACAGG
rnacentral:rRNA from 1 species